GUGCCAGCAGCCGCGGUAAUACGGAGGGUGCAAGCGUUGUCCGGAUUUAUUGGGUUUAAAGGGUGCGUAGGCGGCUAUUUAAGUCAGUGGUGAAAGACUCCGGCUCAACCGGAGCAGUGCCAUUGAUACUGGAUAGCUUGAGUAUUGGAGGGGUACAUGGAAUUGAUGGUGUAGCGGUGAAAUGCAUAGAUACCAUCAGGAACACCGAUAGCGAAGGCAUUGUACUGGCCAAUAACUGACGCUGAUGCACGAAAGCAUGGGUAGCGAACAGGAUUAGAUACCCUGGUAGUCCAUGCCGUAAACGAUGAUUACUCGCUGUUAUGCUCUUGUAGUGUAGCGGCCAAGCGAAAGCGUUAAGUAAUCCACCUGGGGAGUACGCUCGCAAGAGUGAAACUCAAAGGAAUUGACGG
rnacentral:rRNA from 1 species